ensembl:lncRNA
CUGGAGACUGUAGAGGUGAUUUUGGGGUGUUUGGGUCUAAAGGAAUACUGCUGUGAAGCCCAAUGAUGGGGUGCUGCCUUUUCAUCCAUCAGAAGAAGAAGAGGAAGCAGAGGAAGAGAGAUGUGGAUUCGCUCAGUCUGUGCAGCUUGGACAUCAAUGUGAGUUACAUAAAUGUGUGUCUAGGCCUACAGUACACAUAAUGCACUGCACUGUGGGAAGAAAACAUCAAUUACUCUGCACUAUCCAUCAGAGAGUGCUGCAGGGAUGGGGUUUUGUUCUUGUUUUUUUGUAGGCCACAACCCAAAAUCAAGUUUGUACAGUAUUUUAGCACUUCAUGUUUCAUUGUCCUGAAGUCAAAUUUUAUUUUUAGGCUAAAUGCCUGAAAGAAGGUCUGUGAUUAACACAAGCUCAAUAUAUUUUCAUGUUUUAUUCUAUGAUAUAAAAGACAUGAGUAAUAUAAGUAAAGACUGUAUGAAGCUUAGUUAUUGUGAUGUUGAGGUCAUGUGACCAUGGUGUAGUUUAUUUAUUGAGUCUUAUAUAUAGCUUUUUACUUCUGCUGACUGUAUUUAGGCU